CGAACGCUGGCGGCGUGCUUAACACAUGCAAGUCGAACGCGAAAGGGACUUCGGUCCUGAGUAAAGUGGCGCACGGGUGAGUAACGCGUAGAUAACCUGUCUUCAUGUCUGGAAUAAUACGCCGAAAGGGGUACUAAUACCGGAUAUUCUUGCUUUUCAUAGGUUAUGCAAGCAAAGGUGGCCUCUGCAUAUGCUACUGCAUGAAGAGGGGUCUGCGUACCAUUAGCUAGUAGGUGGGGUAAUGGCCUACCUAGGCGACGAUGGUUAGCGGGUCUGAGAGGAUGAUCCGCCACACUGGCACUGGAACACGGGCCAGACUCCUACGGGAGGCAGCAGUGAGGAAUAUUGCGCAAUGGGGGAAACCCUGACGCAGCGACGCCGCGUGAGUGAGGAAGGCCUUCGGGUCGUAAAGCUCUGUCAAGAGGAAAGAAGUGUACAAUGGCUAAUACCUGUUGUAUUUGACGGUACCUCUAAAGGAAGCACCGGCUAACUCCGUGCCAGCCGCCGC
rnacentral:rRNA from 1 species